rnacentral:rRNA from 1 species
CAAAAACAUGGCUCCUUGGAUUCUAUCUAUAAGGAGUCGGACCUGCCCAGUGAAUUUUCAACGGCCGCGGUACUCUGACCGUGCAAAGGUAGCAUAAUCAUUUGCCUUAUAAUUGAAGGCUAGUAUGAAUGGUUUGACAAGAAUGAAGCUGUCUCUUUAUAAUUUAGUAGAAUUUUAUCUUCAGGUGAAGAAGCCUGAAUAAAAUUAAAAGACAAGAAGACCCUAUCGAGCUUGAAAAAAGUUAAUAGAAUUAAGUAUUAAUAUUUAUAAAAAAUUAUCUAUUAAACAUUUUAGUUGGGGCGACUAAGGAACAUAAAAAGCUUCCUUUCUAAAAUUGAUAGUCAAACUAGAAUUGAUCCAAAAUUUUUUGAUUAAAGGAAUUAGUUACCGUAGGGAUAACAGCAUUAUCUUUUUUAAGAGCUCAUAUCGAAAAAAAGGUUUGUGACCUCGAUGUUGGACCAGAAUAUCCUAAAGGUGCAGCAGUCUUUAAGGGUUGGUCUGUUCGACCAUUAAAAUUCUACGUGA